rnacentral:rRNA from 1 species
AUAAUUGAGAGUUUGAUCCUGGCUCAGGAUAAACGCUGGCGGCGUGCAUAACACAUGCAAGUCGAACGAUGAACCUUAUUAGAUUUCUUCGGAAUGAAAAUAAGUGGAUUAGUGGCGAACGGGUGAGUAACACGUGAGUAACCUGCCUUACACAAGGGGAUAGCCUUUGGAAACGAAGAAUAAUACCCUAUAAAGUUAGUCAAUCGCAUGGUAGACUAACCAAAGAUUUAUCGGUGUAAGAUGGACUUGCGUCUGAUUAGCUAGUUGGUGAGAUAAAAGCCCACCAAGGCGACGAUCAGUAGCCGGCUUGAGAGAGU